rnacentral:rRNA from 1 species
GAUGAACGCUGGCGGCGUGCCUAAUACAUGCAAGUUGAGCGAACGGACGAGAAGCUUGCUUCUCUGAUGUUAGCGGCGGACGGGUGAGUAACACGUGGAUAACCUACCUAUAAGACUGGGAUAACUUCGGGAAACCGGAGCUAAUACCGGAUAAUAUUUUGAACCGCAUGGUUCAAAAGUGAAAGACGGUCUUGCUGUCACUUAUAGAUGGAUCCGCGCUGCAUUAGCUAGUUGGUAAGGUAACGGCUUACCAAGGCAACGAUGCAUAGCCGACCUGAGAGGGUGAUCGGCCACACUGGAACUGAGACACGGUCCAGACUCCUACGGGAGGCAGCAGUAGGGAAUCUUCCGCAAUGGGCGAAAGCCUGACGGAGCAACGCCGCGUGAGUGAUGAAGGUCUUCGGAUCGUAAAACUCUAUUAUUAGGGAAGAACAUAUGUGUAAGUAACUGUGCACAUCUUGACGGUACCUAAUCAGAAAGCCACGGCUAACUACGUG